rnacentral:rRNA from 1 species
GACGAACGCUGGCGGCGUGCCUAAUACAUGCAAGUAGAACGCUGAAGCUUGGUGCUUGCACCGAGCGGAUGAGUUGCGAACGGGUGAGUAACGCGUAGGUAACCUGCCUGGUAGCGGGGGAUAACUAUUGGAAACGAUAGCUAAUACCGCAUAAUAGUAGAUGUUGCAUGACAUUUGCUUAAAAGGUGCAAUUGCAUCACUACCAGAUGGACCUGCGUUGUAUUAGCUAGUUGGUGAGGUAACGGCUCACCAAGGCAACGAUACAUAGCCGACCUGAGAGGGUGAUCGGCCACACUGGGACUGAGACACGGCCCAGACUCCUACGGGAGGCAGCAGUAGGGAAUCUUCGGCAAUAGACGGAAGUCUGACCGAGCAACGCCGCGUGAGUGAAGAAGGUUUUCGGAUCGUAAAGCUCUGUUGUAAGAGAAGAACGAGUGUGAGAGUGGAAAGUUCACACUGUGACGGUAUCUUACCAGAAAGGGACGGCUAACUACGUG